AUUGAACGCUGGCGGCAGGCCUAACACAUGCAAGUCGAACGAGUGGCGGACGGGUGAGUAAUGUCUGGGAAACUGCCUGAUGGAGGGGGAUAACUACUGGAAACGGUAGCUAAUACCGCAUACCAUCAGAUGUGCCCAGAUGGGAUUAGCUUGUUGGUGGGGUAACGGCUGACCAAGGCGACGAUCCCUAGCUGGUCUGAGAGGAUGACCAGCCACACUGUGACUGAGACACGGUCGAGACUCCUGAGGGAGGCAUCAGUGGGGAAUAUUGCACAAUGGGCGCAAGCCUGAUGCAGCCAUGCCGCGUGUAUGAAGAAGGCCUUCGGGUUGUAAAGUACUUUCAGCGGGGAGGCGUUACCCGAAGAAGAAGCACCGGCUAACUCCGUGCCAGCAGCCGCGGUAAUUC
rnacentral:rRNA from 1 species